rnacentral:rRNA from 1 species
GACGAACGCUGGCGGCGUGCUUAACACAUGCAAGUCGAAGAUAGUGGCGAACGGGUGAGUAAUGCCUAGGAAUCUGCCUGGUAUUGGGGGAUAACGUCCGGAAACGGGCGCUAAUAUCGCAUACUAUCAGAUUAGCCUAGGUCGGUUUAGCUAGUUGGUGGGGUAAAGGCCUACCAAGGCAACGAUCCGUAACUGGUCUGAGAGGAUGAUCAGUCACAGUGGAACUGGGAAACGGUCCGGAAUCCUACGGGAGGCAGAAGUGGGGAAUAUUGGACAAUGGGCAAAAGCCUGAUCCAGCCAUGCCGCGUGUGUGAAGAAGGUCGUCGGAUUGUAAAGCACUUUAAGUUGGGAGGCGGUACCAACAGAAAAAGCACCGGCUAACUUCGUGCCAGCAGCCGCGGUAAUUA